rnacentral:rRNA from 1 species
UACGUAGGUCCCGAGCGUUGUCCGGAUUUAUUGGGCGUAAAGCGUGCGUAGGCGGUUUGUUAAGUUAGAAGUGAAAGGCUAUGGCUUAACCAUAGUAUGCUUUUGAAACUGUAUAACUUGAGUAAUGGAAGGGAGAGUGGAAUUCCAAGUGUAGCGGUGAAAUGCGUAGAUAUAUGGAGGAACACCGGUGGCGAAGGCGGCUUUCUGGUCAGUUUCUGACGCUGAGGUACGAAAGCGUGGGGAGCAAACAGG